AGCGCGAAUGCCGAGGAACUACAGCCCCUUAAGCUCCAGGUCGCGGGUUCGACUCCCGCCUGCCACGGCAACGCGGCAGUAGCUCAGUGGUAGAGCAGGAUGUUCCUCCAGAUUCUUGUCGUGCUGCC
rnacentral:Y_RNA from 1 species